AUUGAACGCUGGCGGCAGGCCUAACACAUGCAAGUCGAGCGAGCGGCGGACGGGUGAGUAAUGUCUGGGAAACUGCCUGAUGGAGGGGGAUAACUACUGGAAACGGUAGCUAAUACCGCAUACCAUCAGAUGUGCCCAGAUGGGAUUGGCUCGUAGGUUGGGUAACGGCGCACCUAGGCGACGAUCCCUAGCUGGGCUGAGAGGAUGACCAGCAACACUGGAACGUGAACACGGUCCAGACUCCUACGGGAGGGAGCAGUGGGGAAUAUUGCACAAUGGGCGCGAGCCUGAUGAAGCCAUGCCGCGUGUGUGAAGAAGGCCUUCGGGUUGUAAAGCACUUUCAGCGGGGAGGCGUUACCCGCAGAAGAAGCACCGGCUAACUCCGUGCCAGCAGCCGCGGUAAUUC
rnacentral:rRNA from 1 species